AGGAGCAGACCAGCUUCUCACCACCUUGGCGAGCUCUCCCAAGAGUGCUUUUGCGGGUGGAAACCUGGGAGCUGCUUUCCCCCAGCGCAGCCUCCUUUCCAGCAAGGCGCUUUCUCCCCGUGAAGCAAACGAUGCUCCAGAGCGCAACGAUCUGGAUCGUGACUUCAAGCGCGAUCCUGACUGCGUGGCGGUGCCUGAACCGUUCCCAUCACAGGAGAAGCCACAGGGGGCUGUGACUCAGCUGCGCCUGAGUCAUGCGUCCCCAUCCCGCCGUGCUCCCGGGGGACCAUGCUUCGCCUCCACCCGUGCCUCCGUCGGCAAUGAACCACGGCUCAGGCCUCGGCGAGGUGGAUGGGCCCCAGACCGUGGCCGUUCCUUGCUGGUUCUUGCCAGCUGCUAAGGUAAGCUUAGAUCCUCCUUCAGCAUUUCCUCGCCGUAAGGAUCUUUCCUCAAGCAAAUCUCUCUGUGCCUGGAGCUGGCAGCAGCGGCUGCAUGUGUGAGUGCUGUGAAGAACCUGCCCCUUGGAUCAGCCCAGGUUCAAUUCAGUGCUCCGAUACCUGCUGGAUGUGUCUUUCCUUGAUAGCUUUGUAACAUCUAAAGGAAAGAAAAGAAGAUGAAGAGGAAGCAAAGUGUAUGUGUCUUGAUCGCGACAGGGCUACAGCUCUCUGGAUGUUAGCUCUUCCAUGUGCUGUAGCAGGGAAGUUUUUGGUCUCUAUUAAAUCACGUUUUGAGUCAAUGGAUCAUGUACAUGAAAGACCUGGAGCAACAGCUUCUAGAGGAUGACAACAGGGUUGUGGAUCAAGACUUGUGCCUUUCUUUAUUGAUGGAAGAAAGUCAAGUCUAAAUUUGUGACUUUUUCCUGAAAGUCUUCAUGCAAUCUUAUUUGAAAGGG